rnacentral:rRNA from 1 species
GAUGAACGCUGGCGGCGUGCCUAAUACAUGCAAGUCGAGCGAACGGACGAGAAGCUUGCUUCUCUGAUGUUAGCGGCGGACGGGUGAGUAACACGUGGAUAACCUACCUAUAAGACUGGGAUAACUUCGGGAAACCGGAGCUAAUACCGGAUGAUAUUUUGAACCGCAUGGUUCAAAAGUGAAAGACGGUCUUGCUGUCACUUAUAGAUGGAUCCGCGCUGCAUUAGCUAGUUGGUAAGGUAACGGCUUACCAAGGCAACGAUGCAUAGCCGACCUGAGAGGGUGAUAGGCCACCCUGGAACUGAGACACGGUCCAGACUCCUACGGGAGGCAGCAGUAGGGAAUCUUCCGCAAUGGGCGAAAGCCUGACGGAGCAACGCCGCGUGAGUGAUGAAGGUCUUCGGAUCGUAAAACUCUGUUAUUAGGGAAGAACAUAUGUGUAAGUAACUGUGCACAUCUUGACGGUACCUAAUCAGAAAGCCACGGCUAACUACGUG